rnacentral:rRNA from 1 species
AGGGGAUAUUGGACAAUGGGGGCAACCCUGAUCCAGCCAUGCCGCGUGAGUGAAGAAGGCCCUCGGGUUGUAAAGCUCUUUUGUCCGGAAAGAAAAGCCUUCGGUGAAUACCCGGAUGUUCUGACGGUACCGGAAGAAUAAGCACCGGCUAACUUCGUGCCAGCAGCCGCGGUAAUACGAAGGGUGCAAGCGUUACUCGGAAUUACUGGGCGUAAAGCGUGCGUAGGUGGUUGUUUAAGUCUGAUGUGAAAGCCCUGGGCUCAACCUGGGAAUGGCAUUGUAAACUGUGCAGCUUGAGUGCGGUAGAGGGUAGUGGAAUUCCCGGUGUAGCAGUGAAAUGCGUAGAGAUCGGGAGGAACAUCUGUGGCGAAGGCGACUGCCUGGACCAGCACUGACACUGAGGCACGAAAGCGUGGGGAGCAAACA